GUUGAACCGAAAGAUGGAGGGAUGAAUGGGGAGAUCCUUUGAAUGGGAGACAGCUUUCCAGAUGUCAUUUGAGCUGAGCCUGAAUCCCAAUCGCCUUCCCAGGGCUUCCCUGGUGGCUCAGCUGGCUCAGCUGGUAAAGAAUCUGCCUGCAAUGAGGGAGACCUGGGUUCAAUCCCUGGGUUGGGAAGAUUGCCUGGAAAAGGGAAAGGCUACCACUCCAGGAUUCUGGCCUGGAGAAUUCCAUGGACUGCAUAAGUCCAUGGGGUUGCAAAGAGUUGGACACAACUGGGCGACUUUCACUUCACUUCACUUGAAUCCCAAUCAGGAUUGCAACAGUAGAGGAUAGUGGACGGACUGCAAGGGCCAGGAUACAAGGAACCGAAGCACGGACAAGGAAAAGUGAUACCAGGACACAGUGGGAAGUAACAGCGUUUGACUAAAGUACAGAAUACAUGCUGCAGAAAAGGUGAGAAGUGACCCUGAAGGUUCCUGGAAGCUGACACUGGAACCCUAUACACGUCUGGGGAUUCCCAAGCUGCCAGUGUAAUUGCCAUCAGUAAAUAUUUAAGGGACAAAUGAAAAGAGAGGGAAGAGGACAGGGCAGCAGGAAAGAGACAAGGAAGCAAGAAAGAAAGGGAAGAGAGAGCAAAGUGAUAAUGACCACUGGCGUGAACGUUGGCAAAUCACAAACAGUAGGCAAAUUUCUUAAAGGAUCCAGGUUGUCUCAAUGGAAAGAGGAACAGGUUACUGGAGUGUUUGCAAACAGAUGGAGAAGUCUGAAGUCUGGUGAGUGGUUAGAGAUGAAAACAGGGUCAUUGGUCUCAAGAGUAUCUGUGGUCCCUGGUGGGAAGGUGAAGGAGUUACAUGUUGGUCCAGAGAACUCCAGUUUGAAACCAAGCCUCGGGGCUUCCCUGGUGGCUCAUUGGUAAAGAAUCUGCCUGCUAAUGCAGGAGACACGGGUUCGGUCCCUGGUUCAGGAAGACCCCACAUGCUGCAGAGCAACUAAGCCCAUGCGCCACAACUAUUGAACCUGUGCUCAGAGCCCUGGAGCUGCAACUAUUGAGCCCACGUGACCGCAGCUACUGAAGCCUGCGAGCCCUAGAGCCCAUGCUCUGCAACGAGAGAAGCCCUCGCAAUGAGAACCCUGCCCACCACAACUAGUGAGUAGCCGCUGCUCUCCACAACUAGAGAAAAGCCCCAGAAGCAAUGAAGAGCCAGUACCAUCAUGAGUAAAUAAAUAAGAAAUCAAGCCUGAUUGCUAUUAUAUGACACAGAAUUAUUGUCACCUCUGCAUUAAGCAGCCAGGCCUGGUUUGCAUUGCUCCUACUUACCAGGUGAAGAGAAAAAUCAAGAAAUUGCCCUGGAUUUGCUAAAAAAUGGAUUUUUACCCCUAUGAUUCUUAGGGGUAAAAAAAAAAGCACGUGGACAUCUCAUUGGAGGUUGCUUUAAAAAUCCAAAUCACAGGACUUGGGACUUCCAUGGUGGCCCAGUGGUUAAGACUCUACAUUUCCACUCCAGGAGAAUCUGGUUCAAUCCCUGUUUGGGGAACUAAGAACCCACCAGCCUCGAGAAGCAGCAAAAAAAAAAAAAAAUCCUGCCUGAUACUGGGUAUAUGAAAGUCGGCUGGCAGGAAACAGAGGGCCACCCAGGAAGCCCGCUUCCUCACAGGAGCUCCAGAGCCUGCAGAUGCCCUUCAGGUGGAUGUGUGGGACUCACAGAAUCUAGACCUCGAGGAUCAGAAGAGCCCGGUGCCCUGCGUUCUCCUGCUCAACACGGUCCUGAGAGACGACAUGCAGAGAGAGAAACGACCGAGACCAGCUUUCCGGCCAAGGAGCUGGACACAAGAGUGAUGCUCUCUUGGACCCUCCAGACCAUCUCAACCUACCAGCUGAACAGCACUGAGUGACUCUAGUUGGGUGUUUUGCUGAAUAGAAGAAUCAUUCAGCUGAACCUGGGGCUGAUCCACCUAACUGCAGCUAAGUCCAAGUUCUCAACCUCCACGAUGAAGAGGUUCAUCACAGAGUUCCUCUUCCAGAGGACUGAAGCCUGGCCUCCUUCACAGGUGCACAGGGCCCGUGGGAAAGGCCACUCACCCGUGUCCUGAAACAGAAUCCGAGGACGGCCCGAUCCCAAGCAUCUGCCUCGAGCAGCUCCGCCUUCAUUUUCCAGUUGACACAACUCAGGAACAGCCAGAUGGAAAGGAUGCAGAAGGCAAGGUGUGUGGGAAGAGGGUGGAGCUUCUGCGCCCCGUCCCGCAUCAGUGUCCCAGACCCUCCACG
ensembl:lncRNA